rnacentral:rRNA from 1 species
AUGGAGUUCAGAUCUGGGUGUCGCCUGGGUUUCCUAGAUUCAGAUCACAUCAGCACCCUUACCGAUGAUCUACUCCUUCUCAUCCUUGUCAGGCUCCCCUGCAUCAAAGUUGUGGCGCGCACAAGCAUCCUCUCACAGCGAUGGUGUGGCCUCUGUGCCCAUCUCCGCCAAAUAAUCUUUCGCGAGGUCGUGUUCGACCCGAUCGAACCAGCACUCCGCCAGAUCUCUUGUCCUCCUGCAGUUUCCCUGUUGGAAAUCCACGCCCCUGAGCAAGACAUGGCCAGCACCGCACAAGUCAACUCGUUGUUGUCUGUCGCUGCGGAACUUGAGCCGAAGGAGUUCGUCGCCUCCUUAACCUCAAGCUUUGGCCUAUUAUCCAGGACCAUCAUCAUUGAUUUGCCUUGCUUCCACCGCACCACCUGCAUCAUGCUGGACCAUGUAUACAUUCGCUCUGUGCCAGUCGGCAUCGAGUUCCCUAUGCUCGAGACGUUGCCCCUACUGCACUGCAAUGGCAACCUCGAUGCCUUGCUCUCAUGCUGCCCGCGGUUGCGCACCCUCCUCCUCAGCGGCAUUUUAUUUGAGACAUCUGAUCUAAGGGUGAAUUCACCGUCGCGACAGGAGCUUGUUGUAAACUCAUUCUCGACAGAGCGUGUCAACAUUGUAGCCCCCAUGCUUAAGAAAUUGGAGAUUCUCUUUACCGUGAUGUUGGAGGUUAACAUUUCGGUGUUGGCACCAAUUAUGGAGAAUGUCUGGUGGUACUGCUGCUACACAGAGGAGUCUAUUGUGUUUGGCCUUUGGUAUCUUGAGUUGUUGGGAUUUCAGGCGGCAGAUAGACAAGGACAACUCCCUUUGUUGCAUAUUCGUGCAAGUGUAGAUUCGUCACUUUUCCCCUAUGAGCCAAACUUUGCAUAG